UUCCUCUAUACUGGAAGUGGUGGUGGCCCCGAGGGACACAGUUCGCCUAGGGCGCCACUUACCCUUGGACCAGCCCUGAAUGCAGGGCAAUAUCAAGGAGCCUUAUCAGCCCAGUUGUACUGCAGAAAGGAGAAUUGGGAUUUUUUUUUUUCUUAAACAGAAACUCAGUAUUAUUUAUUGGCACUCCCCCUGCAGGACAGGAAACGGCUUGCAGGAGAGGAGGCAUUCGCCAUCCCGAGGUUUUGAUAAAACUCUCUCUCAGAAAUGGACGGAUGCUCCUUGUGCGCGGCACCCUCCCACCAAGGAGCGCUUGCACUUUCACAUGGGCACCUCCCGGAUUUGAUCUCUGCUUGCUAACCAGAGUCUGGUAGAAGCAGUUUAAGUCUGUUUGACUGUCCCUGUCAUCAUAAGGUUUACGGAUGGUUAAUUUAUUCUUUAUAGCACAGUCAUUGAUGGCUGUUAAAUCACAAAUGAGAGCCAAUAAAGGGUGAAUUGCAGCUGAAAUUACACUGUUUAUAUGACAGCAGAGUGCCGGCUAAAAGAUUCAUAUGCCGCUGAUGAAGUACGUUAUAAAUUUUAAUUACCAUAGUUUGUACAAAUGACAUGUUUGAAAUGCUAUUGAGUAAUGUGACCCUGAUAAUGAAACUAUAAAAUAAAUCAUUAACUUUCUGAAUGAGCUUUUUUAUUUCCAUGCUACAUGAAGUAAACUUUCCAAUUUAUUCCACUAUAGCCUUCUAAAAAAAAAAAAAAAAAGAAAUGUUACCAGCCACCUCCUUCACUGGAAGGGACACACUGGCACCCAGACUGGGACAGAGCUGGACUGGAGUAUGUUGCAAUGGCCAGGAGGGAGAACAGCCAAAGCACCAGAAGUACUAGCAGGGUCUCUCUUCUUAUUGUCAAAUGAGGAGUUCCUCCUCCAAAUACAUCUGGAUUAGCAGGGGGGAGUGCUAGGGAUUGAGAAUAAAAUCUCCCCUCCCCCUCCUCCUAGAUACAGAAGGGAAGAAAAUCUGUAUUAAAGUUGGGAUGUAAUUAUAGCUCAGCCUUUGUCAUCAGUUUUGAAAUCCAAAUCAUUAAAGGCUGCCUGCGGGGCUCCCCUUGGGUCUUUUGAAGCAGGAGCCGAGGUGCCUCGUGGCAAAUCUUUCAAGAAGAGACCUGGGUAAUUCUUCUGGAUGUGACUACCAAAGGUGAAGGAGUCGAGAGCUGCUGUGUGGGCCGGGCAAAGGAUUUCCGGGGAGCUUCCCUAGGUGAGAUGUCCCUACCAAGUGAGUCAUGCUCUGUGCUGCAAGAGGAAGAUGAAAACCUGACGCAGUCUCUGCCAGUCCGACCAGGAGGCAAGUUGCUUCCUGACCCCAAGCCUGAUGACCGGCUGGCCAGCCCCUGGAGACCCUGCUGGAGGUCCUGUUGUCCUAGGCACUGUACAGAUGCAUGGUGAUGGACUUCCCCAUCUCAAACAUACCACAGGCUACUGGACGAGACGAUCAAAGGGCAGGACACGGAGAAGGUGAGUGACUUGACCGUUGUCCCCAGAUGAAUCAGCGGCAGGGCCAGGAACCAAACUUACCCCAGCUGACCCCUUAGUCAACCCGCCAUCCACUAGACUUCUCUCUGCCUAGGUGCUUAAAGUUCCUGGUAAGAUUAUAUACAUCUUGGGAGUGGGUGGUGACAUGCAUAAAUAAAUAAUAAAUGCCUAAAUAAAUAAUAAAUGCAUAAUUACCAAGAAAGCAUUAGGGGUUACAUACGAGAUGACUUUGGCCCCAUCUGUGUUUUUCACCAUCAUUUAAAAACAGUUUAUAUUCCCCAAUGCAAGAGGCAUA